rnacentral:rRNA from 1 species
UCGAACGGGACUAUACUGGAAGAAGUUUUCGGAUGGAUUUCGGUAUAGCUUAUUGGCGGACGGGUGAGUAACACGUGAGCAACCUGCCUUCGAGAGGGGAAUAACGGCUGGAAACGGUCGCUAAUACCGCAUAACAUACCGGGAGGACAUCCUGCUGGUAUCAAAGAUUUAUCGCUCGAAGAUGGGCUCGCGUCCGAUUAGGUAGUUGGUGAGGUAACGGCUCACCAAGCCGACGAUCGGUAGCCGGACUGAGAGGUUGAACGACCACAUUGGGACUGAGACACGGCCCAGACUCCUACGGGAGGCAGCAGUGGGGGAUAUUGCACAAUGGGGGAAACCCUGAUGCAGCGACGCCGCGUGUGGGAAGACGGUCCUCUGGAUUGUAAACCACUGUCCCCAGGGACGAAGAUGACGGUACCUGGGGAGGAAGCUCCGGCUAACUACGUGCCAGCAGCCGCGGUAAUACGUAGGGAGCGAGCGUUGUCCGGAAUUACUGGGUGUAAAGGGAGCGUAGGCGGGGAUGCAAGUUGGGUGUCAAAACUACCGGCUCAACUGGUAGUCGCACUCAAAACCGCAACUCUUGAGUGAAGUAGAGGCAGGCGGAAUUCCUAGUGUAGCGGUGAAAUGCGUAGAUAUUAGGAGGAACACCAGUGGCGAAGGCGGCCUGCUGGGCUUUUUACUGACGCUGAGGCUCGAAAGUGUGGG